GGAGUUUGAUCCUGGCUCAGAAUAAACGUUGGUGGUAUACAUUAUACAUGCAAGUCGAACGAAGCGCAAGCUUAGUGGCGUACGGGUGAGUAAUAAAUAGGUAAUCUACUAAAUGGACGAUGAUAAUUGAAAUAACUUUCUUGUAAACAUCGAUAGUUUAAUAUUAAUUAAUUUUUUAUUAAUAAAGUAAUUAGAUUAGCCAUUUAAUGAGCUUAUUUUAGAUUAGAUAGUUGUUAGGGUAAAGGCCUAACAAGUCUAUGAUCUAUAGCUAUCCUUAAAGGGUGAAUAGCCACACUAGAAUUGAAAUAAGGUCUAGUUUCCUACGGGAAGCAGCAGUAAGGAAUAUUGGACAAUGGGGGAAACCCUGAUCCAGUAAUACCACGUGAGUGAUGAAGGCAUUAAUUUGUUGUAAAACUCUUUUAUAAUUGAGGAUUUUGACCAAAUUAUGAAUAAGCGCCGGCAAAUUUUGUGCCAGCAACCGCGGUAAGACAAAAGGCGCGAACGUUAUUCGGUUUUAAUGGGUUUAAAGGGUGCGUAGGUUUUUUUAUAAGUCAAAUUUUUGGAAACAGCAUAACUGUAUAAAAAGGAUUUGAUACUAUAUUAAUUGAGAUUGAUGGAAGUUAAUGGAAUUUCUAGUGUAAAGGUGAAAUUUGUAGAUAUUAGAAGGAACACCAGGGGCGAAAGCGAUUAACUAUUUCAAUCUGACACUGAGGCACGAAAGCGUGGGGAGUAAAAAGGAUUAGAGACCCUUGUAAUCCACGCCCUAAAAGAUGAGUAUUUGAUAUUGUAAAAUUUUGUGUUUUAUUGAUGUCUAAGCAAAAGCAAUAAAUACUCCACCUGAGUAGUACGAUCGCAAGAUUAAAACUCAAAGGAAUUGACGGGAGCUCGCACAAGUGGUGGAACAUGUGGUUUAAUACGAUGGCCCUCGAAUAAUCUUACCAACCCUUGACAUGCUAAUGACAGGGUAAGCAAUUACUUUUUUUCGCAAGAAACAAUAGUACAGGUACUGCAUGGCCGUUUUCAGUUCGUGUCGUGAGACGUAUGAUUCAGUUCUUUAACGAACGCAACCUCUUAUUCUUGUUGCUAAUCCAAAUUGGAUGCACUCUAGAAUAGUACAUAUUUAUGUUUUGCAUGAAUAUGAUAAUUGAGACAACAACAGGUCUUCAUGGUCCUUAUGGGUUGGGCUACACACGUGUUACAAUGGUAAAUACAAUAAGAUGCAAAAAGGCGACUUGGAGCAAAACUAUAAAAUUUAUCUCAGUCCAGAUUGUUUUCUGUAACUCGAAAACAUGAAGAAGGAAUCACUAGUAAUCGCAAAUCAUCAAUGUUGCGGUGAAUACGUUAUCGAGCUCUGUACACACCGCCCAUCAAGCUAUGGGAGGUGCACUUAUUUAAAGGUAAUUUUAUAUUAUUUAGAAUGAGUGCAGCGACACUAGUUAAGUUGUAACAAGGUAAGUGUAGGUGAACCUGCGCUUU
rnacentral:rRNA from 1 species